rnacentral:rRNA from 1 species
GCACUGUAGUCAGAGUUUGAUCCUGGCUCAGGAUGAACGCUAGCGAUAGGCUUAACACAUGCAAGUCGAGGGGCAGCAUAUUCGAAGCUUGCUUUGAAUGAUGGCGACCGGCGCACGGGUGCGUAACGCGUAUGCAACUUGCCUCUUAGUGGGGAAUAACCCGGAGAAAUCCGGACUAAUACCGCAUACACUUAGUUAUCCGCAUGGAUGAUUAAGGAAAGAUUUAUUGCUAAGAGAUAGGCAUGCGUUCCAUUAGUUAGUUGGUGAGGUAACGGCUCACCAAGGCAUCGAUGGAUAGGGGAGCUGAGAGGCUUAUCCCCCACAUUGGGACUGAGACACGGCCCAA